GAGUUUGAUCGUGGCUCAGAUUGAACGCUGGCGGCAUGCCUUACACAUGCAAGUCGAACGGCAGCACGGGAGCUUGCUCCUGGUGGCGAGUGGCGAACGGGUGAGUAAUGCAUCGGAACGUAUCCUGGAGUGGGGGAUAACGUAGCGAAAGUUACGCUAAUACCGCAUAUUCUGUGAGCAGGAAAGCGGGGGGACCUUCGGGCCUCGCGCUCUUGGAGCGGCCGAUGUCGGAUUAGCUAGUUGGUGAGGUAAAGGCUCACCAAGGCGACGAUCCGUAGCAGGUCUGAGAGGAUGAUCUGCCACACUGGAACUGAGACACGGUCCAGACUCCUACGGGAGGCAGCAGUGGGAAUUUUGGACAAUGGGGGCAACCCUGAUCCAGCCAUGCCGCGUGAGUGAAGAAGGCCU
rnacentral:rRNA from 2 species